rnacentral:tRNA from 1 species
GCAGUGGUGGUUCAGUGGUAGAAUUCUCAGCUUCUAUGCGAGAGACCCAGGUUUGAUCCCUGGCCAGUGCA